rnacentral:tRNA from 1 species
UGGUAAUUAGUUUAAACAAAACAAAUGAUUUCGACUCAUUAAAUCAUGGACAUAACCAUGAAUACCAA